UGUUUCUUGGAUUUCAAAAGACCAUUUCCAUUCAAAAAUGUCCAUCCAUUCAUUCAAUAUCAUUUAUAAAUGGUUUAUACAACAAAAUUACAAAAAAAAAUACAAAGUUUGACCUACAAUUGACUUUUGAUCAACUGUUAACUUUUUGGUAAACUAGUUGACCAAAGUCAGCUGAAUUAAAAUUCCACAUUCCUAACCCUAUCCCAUUGUGUCUUCAUCCUUUCAUUAAUUCCAUUGGAUAUCAUGACAAACCAUCUUUCUUCAUGUGCAAGCAAUGGUGUUUUCUUCAAGUUCUCAUAAUGAACAUUCAUGUCAAGCUUCAAAUAUGACUAUGUCUCUCCAAGCUUGUUUCAGCCCUGCACCAUUUAGCACACAAUACAUCAAAAAAUAACCAUUUAUUCAAGACAUCCACAUGGCUACAACAUUGCUUUAGCAAGCAUGAAUAAGGUUGCAAUGUUCCAUAACAACCAUCCAUGACAUAUCAUGUAGCAGCCCUAGCAUCUUAUGCAUUCUAAUGGAAACUAAAGCAUUACCUAGCAUAUUAAACCUUGCAUCAUAAAAGCAUACACUAAACACAUAAUACUAUUAGGUAUAACUACAAGCAUGCAUCCAAUCAUUCAUAGCAUUUGACAGAGAAAUAAACAGACAUCAAUGCAAGACAUGGGGCAAGUCAGAAUUCAAACACCAAUCAUGAGAAUUGGACCAAGUGAAGCAUGAAUUUCGGUCAUAAAUAUGGCCAUGACCAAAGCAUAAAUGGCUCAACUUCAAAAUUAGCAUGCUGAAUCCAUACAUAAGAACUACUUACUUUCUUUUCCAACAAAGCAUCAAAGCAUCAUUGUAUAAUCAGCAUGAAUGCCCCUGCAAGCUCACACAGGCCAGAUUCACAAAUUCAAUGAAAUUGGAACUCCAUCAUCAUGCCAGCAGAAUUAACAGCAGCAUACAACAAUCAAGGCUGCAAUUGUUCACCAGUCCAGGGAAACAAGGAUCCAAAUCAUCUGCCGACUUCGCAACAGGGCUGAAGAAGCCUAAUUCCAUUGCAAACCAUAUCAUACAAUAAUAACUCAGUACACAUUAACAUAACCUUUUUAACUAGUCAAGCAUAGCAUAAGUUUGAACCCACAACAUCAUUAUAAUUUGACCAAAACUCAAUUCAUUAUGCAUUUUCCAUACUUUUAGUGCUAACCAAACUCACUUCAAUUUCACUUAAAUUGCAUCAGAGUUCUCAACACCAAAUCAACAAAAUACAACAUAGCACUAAUUCAUUUUUUGAAGUUUGUCAUAGUGAUAGCAAUUUUGUUAACAUUUUCCAUCUUGAUAUCCUGCACUACUUCAUAACAGCGGGAUUGAACCCUAUAACAACUAACCUAUCAACAUUUUCAUCCAAUUAAAUCAACAAACAAGAUUUAAUUAACAUAACUAAUUCUAACUUAGCAUUUUCCUAUACUGACUUUAAGGUUCAUAUAGGACGAAUUGCUUUCAAAUGAACAAUCAACUCCAACUAAUUUUUCACUGUAAAAGCUAACAUCUAGUUUCAAGCAUAACGAAAAUUCAAGUCAUAACAAUUCUAACCAAUUAGCAGUUUCUAACAGAAACUUAUUGAUUUUAACCAAUAGCUAGUAACUAAAUAAUUGAUUCACUUGGGUUUUACUAACAUUAAUAAAGCAUAACUAACAAUCAAUAAUUAUUAACAAUUAACACCACAGUUACUAACAUAACAUACUCACUCCAAUUCCAAACUUCCAUGACUAACGAUCCUAACAGAAUUAACAGAAGGUUAACUCUAGCACCUAACUAACCAACAGAAUUCAUUCUAACCUCCAACUAAUAGUUAACUGAAAACUUAACAGUGUUAUCACAUUCAACCAACUUGCACAAUACUAAUCUAACAGAAUUUAACACUGUUAACAGAUCAGAGAUCUAUAUAACCUACUCCUCACCCUUAUUCACGCAUGUUUUCAUUACUCCUAAACUUAUCUCAUAAACUCUACAUCCCUUUCUCAUCUCUCCUCACUCAAAGCUCCUCCUAAGAAGCCAUUGAAGCUUCACAUCGAAGCUUCAACGUGCUUGAGCUAUACUCCCUCUCCAUUUUCAAUUCAGCUCAGGUUUUCACUCUCACAAUCUUAGAAGCAAUCUCAACACACUCAGAAUCAUCUCUGCAGUUCCUUCGAAGCUCACACUCAUUCGAUUUCAUUCCCCCUAUGCUUCAGUUCACCCAGGCCCAGUCCUUAGUUGGGCUUGUUUUUG
rnacentral:lncRNA from 1 species